GCCUGGCCCUCAUAAAAACAAUUCAAGGCAGACGGCUCAGUAACACGUAGCCAAUCUAACCUAUGGACGGGGAUAACCUCGGGAAACUGAGGAUAAACCCCGAUAGAUCAUUAUGCCUGGAACGGUUUAUGGUUCAAAUGAUUCGUCGCCGUAGGGUGGGACUGCGGCCUAUCAGCUUGUUGGUGAGGUAAUGGCCCACCAAGGCUAUUACAGGUACGGGCUCUGAAAGGAGUAGCCCGGAAAUGGGUACUGAGACACGGACCCAGGCCCUAUGGGGCGCAGCAGGCGAAAAACCUUUGCAAUGUGCGCAAGCACGACAAGGUUAAUCCGAGUGUUUCCUGUUAAAGGAAUCCUUUGUUAGUUCGUAAAAUCACUAUUGAAUAAGGGGUGGGCAAGUUCUGGUGUCAGCCGCCGCGGUAAAACCAGCACCUCAAGUGGUCAGGAUGAUUAUUGGGCCUAAAGCAUCCGUAGCCUGUUCUGUAAGUUUCCGGUUAAAUCCAUUACCUCAACUAAUGGGCUGCCGAAAAUACUGCAGAACUAGGGAGUGGGAGAGGUAGACGGUACUCGGUAGGAAGGGGUAAAAUCCUUUGAUCUAUUGAUGACCACCUGUGGCGAAGGCGGUCUACCANAACACGUUCGACGGUGAGGGAUGAAAGCUGGGGGAGCAAACCGGAUUACAUACCCGGGUAGUCCCNGCUGUAAACGAUGCAAACUCGGUGAUGCGCUGGCUUGUGGCCAUUGCAAUGCCGCAGGGAAACCGUUAAUUUUGCCGCCUGGGAAGUACGUACGCAAGUAUGAAACUCAAAUGAAUUGACGGAAGCCGAAUUCCAGCACNCUGGGCGGCCG
rnacentral:rRNA from 1 species